CUCAGAUUCUACCAAUAUGGACAGCACGUAUUACUCAUAUAGUUUGAAGUCUUAGAUCUCCCAGAAAUGUAGAAAAUAUUUUUUGCAGUCAGUGUUACUUCCAGAAGUUGUCUGAAAUUAUGACUCUCCCCCUCUGUUUAGAACCAUAUAAGUCCUGGGGUUUUGUGUCAUGUAAGAAAGGGUUGGGAAUUGAAAAGAACAGCUGUUAGGCUUCUUUCCAACUCUGAAGCCUGGUACUCAAACUAGAUUUAAUUUGAUCUAGAAAAAUGCAAAAAGGUUUUCUGUUGCUUAGGUUGGCUCAAGUCUGUGGAUUGGGGUCUCGUCUGCUUCACCAGUACCAGUGGCUGUCUGGGGCAUGCUAUUCUCAUUGGAGACCACAGAAAUGUAAGUCAGCAGGCCAAACCACACAGACUUAUUUAAAACUUCUGCUUGCAUCACAUUUGCUCACAUUCUGUUGUCCUAUACAAAUCACUUGGCCAAGCCCAACUGUAGUGGGCUGGGAUACAUACUCUGCCUACAGUGGGAGGCAGUGAAAAGUCACAUGGCAAAGAGUGAGGAUGUGCAACUUUAUUAGGAAGUGAGUGAAGAAUUGAGAGUAAUAAUCUUGUAUAUCAUAAACCUCAAAGCAGCUGUGUGGAUUGUCUAUUGUUAACUCACCUUUAUCCCUGGCCCUUAUAUUAAAUGUACCGAUUGCACUGCAUUUCAGGGGUGAAGCUUCGCAUAUUAAUUGGCUUUGGCUGCCAUAACAAAACACUAUAGACUGGCCAGCUUAAACAACAGACAUUUAUUUCUCACAGUUCUGGAGGCUGGGAACCUGAGAUCAGGGUGCCAGCAUGGUUGGGUUCUGGUAAGAGCUCUCUGCUUGGCUUGCUGCCUUUUCACAGUGACCUUAUGUGGUGGGUAGAGAGAGGGAGCAAGCUUUCUGGUAUCUUUUUAUAGGAGCACCAAUUCCAUUAUGGGGGGCCCACCCUAAUGACCUUGUUUAUUAAAUCUAAUUAUUUCCUAAAGGGACUGUCUCUAAAUAUCAUCACAUUUGGGGGUUAGGCUGUCAACAUGUGAAUUGUGGGGGACACAUUUCAGACCAUAGUACCCAAGAGCAAUAUUUUCUGAAACCCCUAGCCUACUGGGUCAGAUUCUGUUAAUGAGAAACACUUAAUUGGGAUAUGCAAUGUUGAAAAUUAGAGGACAUUGUCUGUCAGCAGGUGGGCAGGUAAAAGGCAAAGAGCAUGAAUUUACUUUGAAUUCUGGCUACUUUUCCCAAUCACUUGCUUUGGUGUGGGGGGCAGCUGAGAUGGGCCAUCAGCAGAGGUUUUUCCAUGAUGCUUGUCUUCUCACUUCUGAAAGCAGCGGUUUCCCCGAUUUUGUAAGCACUUAUUAUGUUUUACUGACGUUAAGAUGCCAUCCAUGGUGUCAAUAAGAAAGAAAAAAGCUACCAUUAAAAAGCUAAAAUUUU
rnacentral:lncRNA from 1 species